GUUCUCUCUUUGUUAGUACAUACACUAAAAUUGGAACAAUAUAGAAAAAAUUAGCACAGCUCCUGCCCCAAGGAUGACACUUAAAUUUGUGAAGCAAUUCAUAUCUUU
rnacentral:snRNA from 1 species